AUGGACCAUGGAUCUUGAUCUGUUUGCCUUCAUCCAUGGGUGGCAGAUGGCAAUGAGGUUCAUAAUUAUAAUGAAUGAGUUGUUGAACAACUGGAUGAGUGCAGGUGUAAAGCUAUUAGUGUCUGGUAUAGGAACAUACCAUUUGCACGAGAGAAACACUACCUUUAAACCUGAACAACUGCAUUGUUCUGACUAUGGAUUGAAUAUGGUCCAUGAAGGUGCAUUUGGUUCUAUUGGUGAUGAUCAGUCACUUCUUAAAUACUUGGAAUCUCUGGGACAACAUUAGUAACAAGCAUGUCCGUAGUUGGUCAUCAAAGAGAGGUAGGGCUUUAAAGCAUCAAUUCAAGCUUGGUGAGCAGCUUGGUAAGCUCCUGUUUCUUCCCAGUCAGGCUUGGUGAGCAGCUUCUGUUUUAAUCUUGAAGUCGAGGAAGAUUAAAACAGAAGUGUCUGUUUCCUUGU